UCACCGUAGGUGAACCUGCGGAGGGAUCAUUAACGAGUUCCCCUUAAACGGGUAGAAUUCCCACCCUAUGUUAUCAUUACCUUUGUUGCUUUGGCGGGCCGUCUCGGCCUCGGUCAGGCUACCGGCUCCGGCUGGUAAGCGCCCGCCAGAGGACCCCAAACUCUGAAUAUUAGUAUCGUCUGAGUAUUAUAUAAUAGUUAAAACUUUCAACAACGGAUCUCUUGGUUCUG
rnacentral:misc_RNA from 1 species